rnacentral:tRNA from 3 species
GCGCCCAUAGCUCAGUGGAUAGAGUACCGCCCUCCGAAGGCGGGGGUCGCACGUUCGAAUCGUGCUGGGCGCG